AAAGUCGUAACAAGGUCUCCGUUGGUGAACCAGCGGAGGGAUCAUUACGAGAGUUGCAAAACUCCCAACCCUUUGUUUACCUACCUGUGGAAUCGUGCUUCGGCAGGCAGCCCCGUGGGACGGAGCCUCGCCUUCUAACGAAGGUGCCUGCCGCUGGCCACCAAUACUCUGUUAUACAAGUUACUAUCUGAGUCUUAUACAAAUAAUCAAAACUUUCAACAACGGAUCUCUUGGUUCUG
rnacentral:misc_RNA from 1 species